UACGGGGGGGGCAAGCGUUGUUCGGAAUUACUGGGCGUAAAGGGCUCGUAGGUGGCCAACUAAGUCAACCGUGAAAUCCCUCGGCUUAACCGGGGAACUGCGUUUGAUACUGGAUGGCUUGAGUUUGGGAGAGGGAUGCGGAAUUCCAGGUGUAGCGGUGAAAUGCGUAGAUAUCAUCAGGAACACCGGUGGCGAAAGCGGCUUACUGGGUCUCUUCUGACGCUGAGGAACGAAAGCUAGGGUAGCGAACGGG
rnacentral:rRNA from 1 species